rnacentral:rRNA from 1 species
UCACAUAAUAAAUCACCAGGCCCUGGUGGGUUUACUGUCGAGUUUUGUCAACACUAUUGGGAUCUGAUUAAAAAUGAUAUCAAAGCUUUGUUUAAUGACUUUCAUGUUGGUAAUUUUGAUAUAUCCAGACUACAUUAUGGGAUUAUCACCUUAGUGCCUAAAACUAAAGAAGCUAAUCAAAUCCAGAAAUUCAGACCAAUUUGUCUUUUGAAUGUAAUUUUCAAAAUUUUGACUAAAGUCUUCAUGAAUAGGAAGGGGUGCUCAUAUUACAUGAAGCUCUUAAUAGCGUUCAUCAUAAAAACAAAAUGCCCUGCUAUUUUAAAUUUGACUUUGAAAAAGCAUAUGACAUGGUCAAAUGGCCUUUUGUCCUUCAAAUGGUUAACAUGA